AUGCUGCGUAUUUCAGCGAGCAAUUGUGAAAUGUUCAGUCAAUUUUUGCAUUUGCAAUUUCGGUUUGUGAAUGUUACCCUCGCUGUCCUGUUAACCAUCUCUCUAGUCCCAUGUGUCUUACCUCUGUAUCCCGAAAUUCUAAACGUCAGUGCGGAGCAGGUUUUUUAUUUAUUGAACAAAACGAGAAUUUUGGGUGAUGUCAUACAGACGGCUCCAAAAUACACAUGUAUGGUAUCAUACUUUGAGAACACUGCCGUGGAGCUGGGAAACGUUCUUGAGGCAAAGCUGAUCAGAUAUCCUCCCCACUGGUGCCGGUGGACCGGUGAAAAGAGUAGCUACUACACAUUUUGGUGACGGGUGAGAUCCGCAUUCUGCCGUGCUAAGGAAGAACGCCGUGUAAAGAUUUGAGAGUUACCAAAUUUCCUCCGAUAAAAUGUUUAUUUUUGAGAAGCGCCAUGAAUAUUUUGCCUUUAAAUUUUCAGAAACUUUUGGUUGAAUUGUGAACAAACUUAUCUGAAAAAUAUCCACAAGUUUACCAGGAAAUUCGUGUUUUAUCAAAGGAAAUUUGACAACGCCUGAAGAUUCGCACGGCGUUUUUCUUUAGCCCGGCAGCAUUGUAUUUGUACCAAAUACCAUUCGUUUGACCCUGGGUGUAUGUAUGCCACUUCAUGCCUCGAAGCAUUUAUAAAAGAGCAUAAACACCCAACCUGAGUUAAAGUUAGAAAGUGGUGCGGAUUGCGGAAAGUGCGAGGCCAUCCUAUAGCCAACACGGAAAAACAAAUUUAGCUUUCAGCCUUAAGGUCAAAUGGCACCGACUACAGGCAGUAAGUCUGAGAACUGCAGUUUGAAGGUCCAGCCCUGCUGCCUUUAAAUAGCGUCAUUCGGCUCAAAGUGUUAGGGCUCAGCAUGAAGUUGUUUCUUCCGUGCCUGUUCCGUAUUAUCGCGAGAGACUUUAACGAGCGGGUAGGAAAUCACCGCUAAUUUUGGAAUCAAGCAAGCUGCUAUGCUUGUGUUUUUCUAAACGGCGCAUUGAGGAUAGAGUGGUCAUAAGCCUUGAUCGCUCUCAGCUCAGCAUAAAAAUCUUCUACCUUGCAAAGUUAUCGCAGUGGGCCCAAAAUAUCACCCGCAAACAGUCAAAUGAUGUUUUCGUAGUAUGCGGGGGAAUUUUCGUUUUAUAUGUGCAACGAGGGCGCUUUUUCUAGGUUAUUUUAAGGAGCAUUAAUUGUCCUCAAUACUGUGUUGCCGUUUUAUCAAUGAUGAUUUUUACGCGCAUUAUCAAAUGAGAUAAUAUUGAAAAACAUCUGAGUAUUAAGCAAUUAAUUGGGCGUGAAUAGUGGCGUAUAUCUUCUAUCCUGCUUCUAUCCUAUAUAGUGAUCUCCUGGUAAUUGGUACUUCUUCGGAAUGGUUUUAUUUUUGUGACGAGUCGGAGAGACUCUAUUAAUUUGAGAUACAAAGAUGGAUCUUUAUAGGGACCAAAAACGUGCAUCGUGAACUGAACAUCAAAUUCCAGGAGAUCUAGAUCGAGAAAAUAAAAAAUAAAAAAUAAAAAAAUAAUUUUAAAAAAACUACGCAAAAACUUUAUUUAGUCAUUGAGAAUGUUUGAAAUCAUGUGAUGAUUCCUACAUAAAUAUCAAACAUUAGAAUUGGUUCGAGUUAUGAAGUAUGGAGUAUCUUUUUUCGUGCGUUCGAUCUAAGAGGCAUCAUUCUUUCAUUGCUUCGUUCAGUGAAUCAUUUCAACAUGUCUUGAACACCAUUCAAAAAUAACAAUGAUGUGAACGAAAUUAGUAAUCAUGGGAAAAUAAUCGCAUGAGCCUCAACAUUAAUCUUAUGAUUUCAGGUCCGGACGAGCCAAGUAGAGAACAUCCCGCGGAGGGAGAAUAUAUUCACUGGCUCGUUGGAAAUAUAAAGGGUGACAAAAUACUUCAAGAAAAGAGUACAUUUAUGAAUACAUUGGACCUGAUCCAAAAAAAGGAACAGGUAUAAAUUAGUCCUUAAUACAAGACGUAUCCUACUCAAUAGUCAAAAAGCAUCCAAAAUAACCAUCUACUUCCAAUUGAGGAGGGAAAGGGGGAGGGGGAUGAAGUGUUUGAGCUUAUAAAUUAGUAUUAUCAUCUUCUGGAGGAUUUAAAAAAAAGACGUUCCAACGCAGUUGCGUUGGAGGGCGCUUCUCUCAGUGGCAGAAGGAAGUAAUAUGGUUGCCCAUACACUGUUAAAAUCAGUGAUUUACUCUGAGUGAAUAGCCGGCGUGAAAAAAAAAUCCAGCGGGAAUUUCGCGCCGUACUCUGAGUGAAUAGAACAGAGCGUAAAUAUCACCAACGACGGACGAAUUAGUUGAGGUACCUCAAGUAGCGUGAACUCAGGAUAUCCUGAUACGAGCGCAAGUUGGCGAAGUGGUAGCGUACUCGUCCAUCACCGCCGGCCGCGGCCCGAGUUCAAAUCCAUACUGCGGCGGUUCCGUUUUAUGUUGCCUGUCAGAUUCUCACCCCCGCCAGAGCGCGAAAUUCUCACUUUGGAUGAUCUCGAUAGGAAAACACCAUUUUGUACUUAAUAGCUAAUUCUGAUACACACGAUUUUCCACCAAAUGUUGGUCUUCUACGCACUCAGUCCUCCCUCAUGCUUCAUUCACGAGGUCUAGUAUAUCUAAAGAGCUAGAGGUACUGACCUUAACAAUUCUAAAAUGGAUAUGUAUUCUUUACAGGGAAACACAGAGUAGUCUAUUUAGUAUUCAAGCAACCAAUGGAAAGUUAAAGUUUGAUGAACAAAGAUUAAAUGACACUACGUAAGUAUUUUGCAAUGCAAUUCAUCUACAAAUCAAAUUUCACAUGCUUUAAUGCUCUGAGUAUUAAAAAUUCAUAACACAAGUUAAAUCAAAGAAAGGUUUUAAAAAUUGUCCAAAACAAUGUAAGGAAACUUUACUUGCUUACUUAAAUCGCUCAUAUGCUCUAUAAAGUUUACGUGGGGUAUGAAGAAUCGAGGUUAGGUUGCAAACGAAGGAAUAUUCACGUCAUUAUGAUUGAAUUUGAAUGUGCGGAGAAAUAUUGAUUUUGUUUCUUUUACAUUUCUCGCACAAGUUGUCAUCUCUUUUUUUCGAUAGUUACGUGCUUUUUAGCCAUACCACAGCUUCUCCUAAAUUUCAAACAAAAAAUGAGCAUUCAACGAUCCUUUAAUUUUCUCAACAAGUUUUCAUUUUCCCUGAGACAUUUUUUAAAGGUUUGGUUUAAUUUUUUUUUUUUUUUUAGACGAGAAAAUCCAUAUCGGAAGAACUUUUCCUGUGGCAAGUUCGCGAAAAAAUACAAUCUUGGUGACCCUGUGGCUGCUAAUUUUCUGUACGUAGAGUGGGGGCUCAACAAGUCGAGAGUUAUUCCUCCAUGGUCAAUGGGAGGAAAAGUUACGCUGCCAACACAUCCUGACUAUGUCUGGGAUCCAGAAGAAAUAUGCCGUGGUUUUUGAGCAAAAAGGAUCUAGAGAAACCGGUCACACCGGAACCCUUUUGAGUGAUGAAUAUGAUGAAUAUACGCUUAUUAAGAUAUUGCGUGUGCAAUCAACAUUGAUGAGGAAUAACUGAGCAUUUCUAAGGCGCAAACAUAUAAUUAAGGCAAAGUGCACUGAAUCGACAAUAAGAACUAGAAAACUGACUUUUUCCAUCAUUCAGAUAAAAGACAAGAAAAAAUAUAUUAAUGAAUGUGACUUUGCUGAAUAAAAACAGAAACAUGUUUUAAGUCAAAUCAGUUACGUAUUUUUUCUGCGUCUCCCAAAAUUCUCCCCCCGACAUAUUUCCGUCAUGUAGGAAAAUCGAAAGAAAGCAGAAAGCGUAGAGGACGCCCUGCCAAAUCGUGGAUUGAGGGAAUAAGGCAGGAAAUGAGGAGAUGCGAUCUGCCGGAGGAGCUCUGGCGGGAUCGUUAUCAGUGGCGGUUGGUGUCGCAGAAGCGCUAUAAGAGCGACUUGUUAGUUAGGAAAAUCGACGAGGUCCGGGUGGCAAUCGGUUCAACCUAUGAAAUAA
rnacentral:lncRNA from 1 species